CUACGGGCCGCUGCAGUGAGGAAUUUUGCGCAAUGGGGGAAACCCUGACGCAGCAACGCCGCGUGAGUGAAGAAGGCCCUUGGGUCGUAAAGCUCUGUCAACAGGGAAGAAGUUACUUUGUAUUAAUAGUAUGAGGUAUUGACGGUACCUGUGAAGGAAGCACCGGCUAACUCCGUGCCAGCAGCCGCGGUAAUACGGGGGGUGCAAGCGUGAUUCGGAAUUAUUGGGCGUAAAGGGCACGCAGGCGGUCCUGUCAGUCAGAUGUGAAAGCCCGGGGCUCAACCCCGGACGUGCAUUUGAAACAGAAGGACUUGAGUACGGGAGAGGAAAGGGGAAUUCCUGGUGUAGAGGUGAAAUUCGUAGAUAUCGGGAGGAACACCGGUGGCGAAGGCGCCUUUCUGGACCGAUACUGACGCUGAGGUGCGAAGGCGUGGGUAGCGAACGGGAUUAGAUACCCCGGUAGUC
rnacentral:rRNA from 1 species